rnacentral:rRNA from 1 species
UACGAAGGGUGCAAGCGUUACUCGGAAUUACUGGGCGUAAAGCGUGCGUAGGUGGUCGUUUAAGUCCGUUGUGAAAGCCCUGGGCUCAACCUGGGAACUGCAGUGGAUACUGGGCGACUAGAGUGUGGUAGAGGGUAGCGGAAUUCCUGGUGUAGCAGUGAAAUGCGUAGAGAUCAGGAGGAACAUCCAUGGCGAAGGCAGCUACCUGGACCAACACUGACACUGAGGCACGAAAGCGUGGGGAGCAAACA